rnacentral:rRNA from 1 species
UACGUAGGGUGCAAGCGUUGUCCGGAAUUACUGGGCGUAAAGAGCUCGUAGGCGGUUUGUCGCGUCGUCUGUGAAAAACUCGAGGCUCAACCUCGAGCUUGCAGGCGAUACGGGGCAGACUUGAGUACUGCAGGGGAGACUGGAAUUCCUGGUGUAGCGGUGAAAAUGCGCAGAUAUCAGGAGGAACACCGGUGGCGAAGGCGGGUCUCUGGGCAGUAACUACGUGAGGAGCGAAAGCGUGGGUAGCGAA